rnacentral:rRNA from 1 species
GGAGGAUCAUUGUCGAACCUGCAAAGCAGACCGCGAACAUGUUUAACCACAUUGGGAUUGCGGCGUGGGCCGGUCUCACGCCGCAUUCCCCUCCCACAUGCGCGCACUCUGUGGGCUAACGAACCCCGGCGCGGCAUGCGCCAAGGAAAACUCAUAGAAGCGUCCGCCUCCCUUCGCCACGUUCGCGUUGAGCGUGGGAGGAUGCCUCUCAAUGUCAAAACGACUCUCGGCAACGGAUAUCUCGGCUCUCGCAUCGAUGAAGAACGUAGCGAAAUGCGAUACUUGGUGUGAAUUGCAGAAUCCCGUGAAUCAUCGAGUCUUUGAACGCAAGUUGCGCCCGAAGCCUUUCGGCUUAGGGCACGUCUGCCUGGGCGUCACGCAUCGCGUCGCUCCCCCUCCCGUCCCCGGAUAAUGGCCUCCCAUGCGCGACGACGUGUGGCUGGCAAAAAUUUGAUCCCGUGGCGACUCACGUCACGACCAUUGGUGGUUGAACACUCAACUAUAGUGCUGUCGUGCCGAAUGUCGCACUUCGGGCUCUGUUGUAGACCCAAUGGCGCGAGGCUCGCGCUUCCGACUGCGACCCCAGGUCAGGCGGGACUACCCGCUGAGUUUAA